rnacentral:sRNA from 2 species
GCAGCAAGAUCCUCUCAUCGUUGACGGUGUCGCAAAGUGCUCACCUUUCGAGAAGUAUAUAUCCUCUUCUGUACAUACACGACACCCAGAUGUCUGCUAAAAGGCCGGAUGCAGUUAGCCUUGGGUUCAAAAUUUGGCCGGAAAAGAAAUAGGCAAAGAACAGCAGAGAAAAAGGAAAAAGAGCUGGCACGCGAAACAAGUCGAGAAAUCUUUGGUGAACCAACCAAGAAAAGCUCUCUAUUAUGAUAAUCAGAGCAAGUGGGACUUCAUCGGGCAAGUUAUUCCUUCAGAGUCCCAAGCCUCAACCAGGUGCUCCCUGCCAGCGAACCGAUACCGCACCCGCAGCAGUUUUGGACGGAAUGGGAAUGGAUCAUAGAACCCAGGUAUAUGUGACUGCAAUGGCUGAUAUAUUAGUAUUUGGUGUUUGUUAUGUCUGCCUGGUUAAAUGGGGGAAAAACGAAGGCGGAUAGGUUUGAUGGGGAGUUAGAGACCUUAUUGACUCGGCGCGAUAGAACCAACUGUCCCUGAUCAACCAGUGCCGCGACCGGAAUCGUGACAUCUAUCAUGCCUUCUUCAUAGCAUUCGUCAACUGCAGUGGUCCCGUUUUGUUGCUUCUUAUUCUUCAAGGUAGCGGUUGGCGGACAUCCAUAUUCAGCGUGAACGACCACCAACCCGUCUCGAUCAGCUUCCCGAUCCUGCCUUCGCAAGACCUGAUCCCUCAUCAUUGAAACUGCCUGCACGCUUUCUGCUUUCCGCUUCGCAACCAGUUUUGUAAGUCUCUUUUGCAUCUUUGCGAUUUCCUGCUUUUCCCUCCGCCGAGCCCUGGGACGCAGGUAUCCAAAUUCAACCGCUCCAUAGACCGCGGCCGGCAUUAUGACCGCCAAGGUACACAGAUCACCGGUGAUUUUGUCAACGGGACAUAAAGCUAUGGGUAUUUUGAAGGUUUGCCCCAAUCUACUCCAUGAGACGCUGCAACCAAGCCCCAUGCCGCCAAUUGUAGACACUGUCAAUCCCAUGCGGGUGAAUUCGCCAACUCUCCGUGAGCCAGACAGGGACCAGCCCAUGCUGAGGUCACUCUCAAUCACCACGCGAAGUCCUAGCCGUAUGGCACCGCUGCCACUCCGACUUUUGCUGGGAUAAUAACCCUCGCUACUCCACUCGGAACGUAAUGGCUCCGCCGGCUUCCGUGCAAAAAUCGUCCGUCCAUAUUGCAUGGUUAGGUUAACGCCCGCUGGCGACGAACCGAGGUUGAAACCCCAGGUCUCAUUGGGCUCCGGCAGCUGCUGAGGCUGCUUGGGGUGGUUAUGGUCAUGGUCUGGAAAAAGCAUAUCCCUAUCACCUUCAUCCGUCUCGUGAUCAUCGUCAUGUGGGUCUGCAGGUAGCAGUAUUGUCGGCAAGCUUGUGUAUCCGAUCGAAAUGCCACUCAUCGAAUAUAUUCUCAGAAAUUCCCCGUAUUGGUCGCGUUUGCUAGCAUCCAUGAAAAUACCCAUAAGGAAUUCUGGCCAUGAAAGCGAUCCUGAUGACCAGUCACAGGUAACUACACCUGCUGCGCCUACCAUACGUGAUAUUGUUAGGCCAAGAUCGGGAGGGCAUAGCAACGGAGAAGACGAGCACGUAGAUUUCACGAGGCUGGGGUAGAAGAGGAGUAUUGAUGGUCACCACUGCGUCACCGAGAAACGAUAAUAGCGGCCCUUUGAGGAUACUUCGUCUGGAAGGGUCACUGCUGAUGACGUGUGUAAAUGUAGCUCCGAAAUUAACGUUCGCAUUGCGAAUCGUUAGAGGUAUUUGCAUCUACGAAUGCAUUUGAUUUGCAGAUAAUCCAUCACCCGUUGGUGGUUCAUCUCUAUCUUCAUUUCCCUCUCCAUUCGCCGCUGAUUUUGAGGAGUAAAACCAAGAAAGAUCAGGAAGUGGUAUGGGAAGCGCGUAUCCAAGUAAAAACGCUGAUGGCCUCAGGUUGGGUACACGUAUCGAGACAUCUCCGUCCGGUGUAGUCUCGAACAUAGAUGUCGCAUCCACUGAAAGGUGAAUCACUCCCUUGGUCAUGUCAGUAUGUCAAGAACAGAAAAGGGCUCGGGGACAGUGGUGUUGUCAGGUCGGAUAUUUCCAGAGAAGAAUAAACGCAUGCUCCCCGAAAAAGUUCUCUCAUGCUUUCUGAAGGGGCUCAUUCAACAUACACUAGCAUCCACUAGGUCAUUCAAAAUGGCCCUUUCCCGACGCUUCAUGGCCUCCAGAAACCAGCGACGGAAUUCAGCUUCGUCCAUCGCCUUCACCCCGAUUUGCUGGCUUUCAGCGUAUCCGUUUCUACCCAUCAGCCCUCCCUCCGCCCAAGUGUGCCGCACUCCUUCUUCACCCAGCAUGUCAUAUACAACUCGCUUCUUGGGAUCUAACAGAGUCUCAUAUGCGUCACGUAUCUUGUUAUAGUGCGCCGUAGCUGCCUCUCUUAGCGCUUCGGGUUGUUUGUCCGGGUGGAAGCUGAGCGUCAACGUUUUGUAGGCCGAGCGUAUUUGCGCUUCCGUCGGCGGAGGGUCUCGAGCUAAUGCGAGCAAGCUGUAAUAGUCAAUGGUCUCCGGGUAAUCCUUUAAUCGGUCAUAAUCAUUCUCUGAUCCAUCGGAGCAAUGGCCGCCGCCGUUUUCUUCGUCGGCUUUCGGCAUGUUCGCCCCGUUGAUGGCAGAGACAUUUGAGCCAUUGUGCGCGUUCUGUCCGUCAGGGUUGUCAGAGCGGCUUGUCUGUGGCAUUGUCCACAUUUAUCCACCCAUCUAAUCGGAUUUACAGGGCGGGGAAGGUUAUGGUUUGCUCCAGCGCAUUGCUUGGAUAGAGGCUGGCUAUCGGGACGUGGUCGGUCCGGGCAAUCUGCCCGCUGGCCUCUUCCUGGCAAGAAGCUGCAAGAUUUGGCUUUUCUCAAAUAAACUUCACAGCCACAACUACACGCAAAAGCACCAUUCAGGCCUUUUUGAUACUGAAUAAAGAGUCGCAACUGCAUGCUAGCUGUUAUAGAAACCUAUGUUCUAUACAUAGCUAAAAACCCCUAGGGAUGCCAGCGACUGGAUCUAUUAUGGCAAUACACUACAAAGAAAAUAGGUAGUAAGUUCCACUGUGCCUACGGCAGCUGAUUGAUUGUCCAGUUGAAAUUCAUUCACAACCUUCACACAGAGCAGGUCCUCGCGACAAGCAUUAAGCAUUAUAUAUGUCCUUUUUGCCGGAGCUGUAGUGGGUGUUGAUGAUGGAUCUUAUUGUCUCGUUAACUUCCGCCCCAUACCAUGAUCGAGGAGACGUUCUGGCAAUUUCCUUAUCCAUCCCCCUUGUUUUGUUUCGAUAUGCUGUUAACAAGAGAAAGCUUGCGCAAUUUCCUUUGCUCCAAGUAUAAGAGGAGUAGAAUAAGAGAAAGAAAAAUCAUAGCUAUGGCCAGUUGCAUGUAAUAAUUGAAGCCAAACGCUCGCUCUAUAAUCCAAGUGAAGUAUUAAUAGUUGAAAGUUUCUAUAAUCUAGACAAAAAGGAAGGGGUGGAAAUGUUAUGGUCGGGAAAUUGGAGGGUAGCUGAGACCAGCGAACCAUCGACAAACUGGGAUUGAGAAUUGGAAAAUAUACAACAGAAUUGUACAGGGUAACUAUUGCGUAUGGACUAUGACUCGGAAUUUGGAAAACUGAAGUUCAUAACAGUGCAAUGCACGACGAGGGUUUAGGCGCGUCAAAACGUGUAUUGAAACUGGGGGGAAGGUGUUAGGGGGG